rnacentral:rRNA from 1 species
CCCUUAGAUGUUCUGGGCCGCACGCGCGCUACACUGAUGCAUUCAACGAGUCUAAAACCUGGUCUGAUAGGGCUGGGUAAUCUUUUGAAAGUGCAUCGUGAUUGGGAUAGAUGAUUGCAAUUUUUCAUCUUCAACGAGGAAUGCCUAGUAAACGCAAGUCAUCAGCUUGCAUUGAUUACGUCCCUGCCCUUUGUACACACCGCCCGUCGCUCCUACCGAUUGAAUGAUCCGAUGAAUAUCAUGGAUUGAGGAUGCAAGUAGGUUCGCCUAUCUUCAUCUUCGAGAAGUGAAGUAAAUCUUAUCAUUUAGAGGAAGGAGAAGUCGUAACA